rfam:Nematostella vectensis strain CH2 x CH6 NEMVEscaffold_667_Cont31493, whole genome shotgun sequence.
UGGCCUAAUGGACAAGGCGACUGAGUUCGGAUCAGAAGAUUGAGGGUUCGAGUCCCUU